rnacentral:tRNA from 1 species
GCGGAGUUAACUCAGUUGGUAGAGUGCUAGCUUCCCAAGCUGGAUGUCGCGGGUUCGAAUCCCGUACUCCGCUCCA